AUGGCCGUUGUCCAGAGAUACAGAAAGCCUGAUUACUUAAUCACUAUGACUUGCAAGCCUUACUGGGAGGAGGCCUUAAAAACAAUGGCACCCGGACAAACACCACAAGACCGUCUUGACCUGGUGGCCACAGUAUACAGGGCCAAGAUGCAGAGUCUAAAAGAUCUUAUGAAAAAAAAGUACUUUGGUCCGGUUGCGACAUAUGCUUAUGUUACCGAGUUCCAGAAAAGGGGUCUGCCGCAUGAGCACUUCCUGUUGAUCAUGGUCUCAGAUAGUAAGCUAACAAAUCCAGACGCCUAUGAUGGGGUAAUCUUGGCAGAGAUCCCUAGCCAUGGGAAGUACCUUGUGUUGCAUGGACUAGUUAUCAAGCAUAUGCUCCACCACCCAUGUGGUACUCUCCAGAAGAAUUGUCCUUGCAUGAUAAAUGGAAAUUGUCGUUUUCGUUACCCUUGA
rnacentral:rRNA from 1 species